rnacentral:rRNA from 1 species
CCUACGGGAGGCAGCAGUGAGGAAUAUUGGUCAAUGGACGAGAGUCUGAACCAGCCAAGUAGCGUGAAGGAUGACUGCCAUAUGGGUUGUAAACUUCUUUUAUAUGGGAAUAAAACGUUCCACGUGUGGGAUUUUGUAUGUACCAUAUGAAUAAGGAUCGGCUAACUCCGUGCCAGCAGCCGCGGUAAUACGGAGGAUCCGAGCGUUAUCCGGAUUUAUUGGGUUUAAAGGGAGCGUAGGUGGAUUGUUAAGUCAGUUGUGAAAGUUUGCGGCUCAACCGUAAAAUUGCAGUUGAAACUGGCAGUCUUGAGUACAGUAGAGGUGGGCGGAAUUCGUGGUGUAGCGGUGAAAUGCUUAGAUAUCACGAAGAACUCCGAUUGCGAAGGCAGUUCACUGGACUGCAACUGACACUGAGGCUCGAAAGUGUGGGUAUCAAACAGGAUUAGAUACCCUUGUAGUC